rnacentral:sRNA from 1 species
UUGAUAGCCCUGAGGACUGAACCUUGAUUUUAUCUCCAGAACCAGGUUUGGCACAGGCAGCGGCAGGGCAAGCUUCCUUUGCCUGCCCAGCCAAUGAGCCUCAGUGCUGCAGAGACCGCUUCUAAAAGGGAGAGGGUAGUUCAGUCCACAGGCUUGUUAAAUCCGUGGCAACU